CUGUCACAACGGCUUCCUGGCGUGUCAGAGCAAACCCAAUGGAGCA
rnacentral:ncRNA from 1 species